GUUGUCAAAAAAAUACGGUACUCUAAGCAAAAAUUUCUAGGUAUAUAAUUGAUGGGCUAGCAUUCACAGUUGGACGUCAGCGACCAUAUCACAUAUUCGAGCAUAUCACCAUCGUACUCAAGUCAAGCACAACUGCACAAGUCACGAGAGUUUCAGUGCAUAUGGUUGCAAGUCAUUCUUGAAAAUUCCUUGCUGAUGAGGUGUCAACACCUCACUCAGUCCUCGAACACGAUCCUCUUUCCUGUGUGAAAUAAUAGUUACAUGUAUAAAUUUCAAAUUAGGGAUAUGAAACAUUUCACAGAAACAACAACGAAUUUGAUUUGGAUAUGCAUACAAUUAUGUCAUGUGUGGCGAAGCACAAACAACUUUAGUUACGAAGGUCCACACAGAUAUGCACUAACCAUUUAUCUAUAGUUGCUCCUACCAUGGCUUUUGAAAUUGUGAUUCUCACCUAUUCAAAUACCACCCAAGUCACUUUCAAGAAUAAAACACGGAAGAACCGUAGCAGAAUCAUGCUCCAGAUAGUAUAAGCUAUCAGAAUUGUGAUACAAAGGAUGUUCCUGAACGACAUCCUUUUCUUCAAAUCUACUGUGAAUAUUCCUAUACAGAUGUUAUGCUAAACCAUAAAUAAACCCAGUGGUUCCUUUACUUGACUGCACAUUUCCCCAUUGUGGCGGCCCUCAGAUUGGUCCCCGACAAGCUCAAAGAAGAUAUGUAGCACAAAGGUACCGUCUUACACUCUCGUAAGCAAGGCUUAAGAUUGUAUCGGACAUUGGAAUACACUCUAUUUAAGCAAAAUUGACCUAAUUCAAAUAUUAUUAUGAAAUUAAUUUGAAUCUAGCUCAAAAACAUUAAUUACAAACUUUCGGUACCUGCUUGUGGUCUCACCCUCUUGGGUCCUACAUGGGUGGUAGUAGGCAUCUUACUAGGAGUAGUUGGGUAAUUUACCUGCGCCUCGGCGUACGCCAGUUAGCAGCCUGGAC
rnacentral:lncRNA from 1 species